AUGGCUGAGUACGACGACAUUGUCAGCAGGAUGUUUGAUAGCAAGGAAGAGGGUUUUAAGUUCUAUAACAAGUAUGUUGUUGAGAAAGGCUUUAGUGUGAGGAAAGGAUAUGUUGAGUGGGAUGAAGCGUACGAGAAGAUAAUUCUGGGGAAACUUGUCUGUAGUCGUGAAGGUUGCCGUGAAGAGAAGCACGUGAAGAGGAAGAGAGAAGAUGGGAAGAGGAAGCCACGGAAUAUCACUCGUGUGGGGUGUAAAGCGAAAUUUUUCAUUGCAAGAGUCACGAAAAUAGGGCAGUGGUUUGUGAAGGAUUUCAUCGAUGAACACAACCAUCCUCUGGCCCCACGAGACCUUGCUUGCUUUUUGCGUUCCGACAGAAGAAUCAGCGAUGAGCAAAAAGCGGACAUUAUAGAGAUGGAAAGUGUUGGAAUCCAAAAACAGAAAAUCAUGGAUGUGUUGUGCAUGCAGUACGGUGGGUAUGACCAUGUUGGAUGCAUGACGAGGGACAUCUAUAACUUCUGUCGUUGCUACAAGCAAGAAACAGUUGCUGUCGGUGAUGCUCAAAUGCUGAUCCGUCACAUGAUGGCGCGGCAAGAGAGAGACCCAGAUUAUUUGUUCAAAUACUUGGUUGAUAAAGAUGGGCAUCUGAAGGGAUUGUUCUGGUCUGAUACUCAAUCCUGCCAUGACUACGAGGCUUUCGGUGAUGUUGUGGUUUUUGAUAGCACAUACAGGACCAAUAAGUACAAUCUACCGUUUGUGCGGUUUGUCGGGUUGAAUCACCACCGUAGCAUUUCUCAUGAAACUAAUGAGGUGUACGAGUGGAUGUUGCAGACAUUUUCUGAAGCCAUGUCGUAG
rnacentral:rRNA from 1 species